rnacentral:rRNA from 1 species
GACGAACGCUGGCGGCGUGCUUAACACAUGCAAGUCGAACGGAAAGGCCCUGCUUUUGUGGGGUGCUCGAGUGGCGAACGGGUGAGUAACACGUGAGUAACCUGCCCUUGACUUUGGGAUAACUUCAGGAAACUGGGGCUAAUACCGGAUAGGAGCUCCUGCUGCAUGGUGGGGGUUGGAAAGUUUCGGCGGUUGGGGAUGGACUCGCGGCUUAUCAGCUUGUUGGUGGGGUAGUGGCUUACCAAGGCUUUGACGGGUAGCCGGCCUGAGAGGGUGACCGGCCACAUUGGGACUGAGAUACGGCCCAGACUGCUACGGGAGGCAGCAGUGGGGAAUAUUGCACAAUGGGCGGAAGCCGGGUGCAGCAACGCCGCGUGCGGGAUGACGGCCUUCGGGUUGUAAACCGCUUUCGCCUGUGACGAAGCGUGAGUGACGGUAAUGGGGAAAGAAGCACCGGCGAACUACGU